rnacentral:rRNA from 1 species
AGAGUUUGAUCCUGGCUCAGGACGAACGCUGGCGGCGUGCUUAACACAUGCAAGUCGAACGAAGCGCCUUGAUUUGAUUCUUCGGAUGAAGAUCCUGGUGACUGAGUGGCGGACGGGUGAGUAACGCGUGGGUAACCUGCCUCAUACAGGGGGAUAACAGUUAGAAAUGACUGCUAAUACCGCAUAAGACCACAGCACCGCAUGGUGCAGGGGUAAAAACUCCGGUGGUAUGAGAUGGACCCGCGUCUGAUUAGGUAGUUGGUGGGGUAACGGCCUACCAAGCCGACGAUCAGUAGCCGACCUGAGAGGGUGACCGGCCACAUUGGGACUGAGACACGGCCCAAACUCCUACGGGAGGCAGCAGUGAGGAAUAUUGGUCAAUGGCCGGGAGGCUGAACCAGCCAAGUCGCGUGGAGGAUGAAGGUCCUAUGGAUUGUAAACUUCUUUUGUGCGGGAAUAAAGUCGGGGACGUGUCCCCGUUUGCAUGUACCGCACGAAUAAGCAUCGGCUAACUCCGUGCCAGCAGCCGCGGUAAUACGGAGGAUGCGAGCGUUAUCCGGAUUUAUUGGGUUUAAAGGGUGCGUAGGUCGCCGAUUAAGUCAGCGGUGAAAUCCAGUGGCUCAACCAUCGGACUGCCGUUAAAACUGGCCGGCUUGAGUAUGAUUGAGGCAGGCGGAAUGCGUGGUGUAGCGGUGAAAUGCAUAGAUAUCACGCAGAACCCCGAUUGCGAAGGCAGCUUGCCAAGCCAUGACUGACACUGAAGCACGAAAGCGUGGGUAUCAAACAGGAUUAGAUACCCUGGUAGUCCACGCAGUAAACGAUGAUUACUAGGAGUUUGCGAUACAGUGUAAGCUCCACAGCGAAAGCGUUAAGUAAUCCACCUGGGGAGUACGCCGGCAACGGUGAAACUCAAAGGAAUUGACGGGGGCCCGCACAAGCGGAGGAACAUGUGGUUUAAUUCGAUGAUACGCGAGGAACCUUACCCGGGUUUGAACGCAGGAGGACGGGGGCGGAAACGCCCUUUCCAGCAAUGGCCGCCUGCGAGGUGCUGCAUGGUUGUCGUCAGCUCGUGUCGUGAGAUGUUGGGUUAAGUCCCGCAACGAGCGCAACCCCUAUUGUUAGUUGCCAUCAUUAAGUUGGGCACUCUAGCGAGACUGCCGGUAAUAAACCGGAGGAAGGUGGGGAUGACGUCAAAUCAUCAUGCCCCUUAUGACCUGGGCUACACACGUGCUACAAUGGUUGGUACAACGAGUCGCGAGUCGGUGACGGCAAGCAAAUCUCUUAAAGCCAAUCUCAGUUCGGAUUGUAGGCUGCAACUCGCCUACAUGAAGUCGGAAUCGCUAGUAAUCGCGGAUCAGCACGCCGCGGUGAAUACGUUCCCGGGCCUUGCACUCACCGCCCGUCAAG